ACGGUGUUCUGGGAGGAGUUACGCAGGCAGGGUUGUGGUUGCUGGCUGUUACCAGGACAACCGGAGGCGAUUGACCGUUAUCUGCGGUUUGGAGCCGUUAGCGGGAGAGGCAGAGAUAUUCAGAGUCUUAAGGUGAAAUGAAGUGUGGCCCAGUGGCUCCUCACUGUCGCUUCUCUAGUUUUCUGCCUCCUUUUAGAAAAUUGAAUUGAAAAGACAGGAUGAAGUGGACACAGCAUGUGAAGACAAUUCUUUCAAGAAGUUUGGCUGUCAAGGAAAACAGAGAAUGUGCUAAAGAACAUACAGACACAGAGCAGACAGGCCACCUUUGCAACCACAUGGAGGUUUGUCUGAUAUUGAAGCUAAAGAAGCUAAGCUGGAAGACAGAGAGACCAAGUCCUGAUGACAUUGUUUGAACCCAGAGAUCCAGACAUGCCUGAAAACUAGUUUUACCACUGGACUUAUCCGUUGAAUGAGCCAAUAAACUCUCUUUUAUAC
rnacentral:lncRNA from 1 species